rfam:Tropilaelaps mercedesae isolate Wuxi-XJTLT scaffold0000006135, whole genome shotgun sequence.
GCGCUACAAUGGCCAUCGGUGAUUAUCCGAUCGAGUACAAUCGGAAGGUACAUGGGCCCUACGACCCAGCACGUUACUACGGCAAACGUGAGUAGUUGUGAGA